AGCAGCCGCGGUAAUUCCAGCUCCAAUAGCGUAUAUUAAAGUUGUUGCAGUUAAAAAGCUCGUAGUUGAAUUUCGGGAUCAGUACGCUGGUCGUGCCUUCGGUAUGAACUGGUGUCACUGGUUCCUCCCUUCUGAAGAACCGUCAUGCCAUUCAGUUGGUGUGGCGGGGAAUCAGGACUGUUACUUUGAAAAAAUUAGAGUGUUUAAAGCAGGCUCGCGCUUGAAUACAUUAGCAUGGAAUAAUGAAAUAGGACGUUUGACCCUAUUUUGUUGGUCUAUUUUGUUGGUUUCUAGGAUCGACGUAAUGAUUAAUAGGGAUAGUUGGGGGCAUUAGUAUUCAAUUGUCAGAGGUGAAAUUCUUGGAUUUAUUGAAGACUAACUACUGCGAAAGCAUUUGCCAAGGAUGUUUUCAUUAAUCAAGAACGAAAGUUAGGGGAUCGAAGACGAUCAGAUACCGUCGUAGUCUUAACCAUAAACUAUGCCGACUAGGGAUCGGAUGAUGUUAAUUUUUUAAUGACUCAUUCGGCGCCUUACG
rnacentral:rRNA from 1 species